GACGAACGCUGGCGGCGUGCUUAACACAUGCAAGUCGAACGGAAAGGCCCUGCUUUUGUGGGGUGCUCGAGUGGCGAACGGGUGAGUAACACGUGAGUAACCUGCCCUUGACUUUGGGAUAACUUCAGGAAACUGGGGCUAAUACCGGAUAGGAGCUCCUGCUGCAUGGUGGGGGUUGGAAAGUUUCGGCGGUUGGGGAUGGACUCGCGGCUUAUCAGCUUGUUGGUGGGGUAGUGGCUUACCAAGGCUUUGACGGGUAGCCGGCCUGAGAGGGUGGCCGGCCACAAUGGGACUGAGAUACGGCCCAGACUCCUACGGGAGGCAGCAGUGGGGAAUAUUGCACAAUGGGCGGAAGCCUGAUGCAGCAACGCCGCGUGCGGGAUGACGGCCUUCGGGUUGUAAACCGCUUUCGCCUGUGACGAAGCGUGAGUGACGGUAAUGGGUAAAGAAGCACCGGCUAACUACGUG
rnacentral:rRNA from 1 species